rnacentral:rRNA from 1 species
UUUUAUGGAGAGUUUGAUCCUGGCUCAGGAUGAACGCUGGCGGCGUGCCUAAUACAUGCAAGUCGAGCGAACGGACGAGAAGCUUGCUUCUCUGAUGUUAGCGGCGGACGGGUGAGUAACACGUGGAUAACCUACCUAUAAGACUGGGAUAACUUCGGGAAACCGGAGCUAAUACCGGAUAAUAUUUUGAACCGCAUGGUUCAAAAGUAAAAGACGGUCUUGCUGUCACUUAUAGAUGGAUCCGCGCUGCAUUAGCUAGUUGGUAAGGUAACGGCUUACCAAGGCAACGAUGCAUAGCCGACCUGAGAGGGUGAUCGGCCACACUGGAACUGAGACACGGUCCAGACUCCUACGGGAGGCAGCAGUAGGGAAUCUUCCGC